rnacentral:lncRNA from 1 species
GUUAUAUAUUAGAGGGGUUAAUCCUGGUUCUACUGUUUUUAUUUGCAGUGCAUGUAGGAACAGAGUUAAGCGGUUCUCCGGGUCUCUGUGGUUCUGCCGGACUCUCUGUAUUCAGGACGCUUCGCCAGGGACGUUCUCUGAUUCCUGAUUCCGGAACGGCGGAGGCUGAAGGUGAGGCUCUGAGAUCGGAGCGCCGUCGGAAAGAGGAAACAUACGAACAGAUGAAGAGGGGACAAUAAAGAGGGAUGGAUGGGGGAAAGCCCUCCCCACGCACCGUGGCCCUGAGCGCUCAGGCGGAACGGAGGGAUAGCACUCAUCCAUCCCGCUGCAGAACGGAGGGAUGACGCUCCUUCAUUUCCCGGUGGACGCUGGUGUA